rnacentral:lncRNA from 1 species
AAUGGUCAAGGCCUGUGUGUACAGUACUGUUUUGGAUGCUGUGGAAUGUUGUGACAUGUGAGGCUCACAGUAAGCAGUCUCUCUCACGUCCCUGGACUGAGAACACCCAAGAGAACCAAUUAGUCAAGCUAAUGUGUCUACCUUUUAGAAUUAAAAUGUGAUCUUCUGAAUAAUUCAUAACUUGAUUUUUUAUGUGUGUGCUUCCCU